AAAAAAGGUAAGCUACUAAGAGCGAAUGGUGGAUGCCUUGACUGGUAAAGGCGAUGAAGGACGUACUAGACUGCGAUAAGCUACGGGGAGCUGUCAAGAAGCUUUGAUCCGUAGAUUUCCGAAUGGGGCAACCCAAUGUAUAGAGAUAUACAUUACCUAUAUAGGAGCGAACGAGGGGAAUUGAAACAUCUUAGUACCCUCAGGAAAAGAAAUCAAUAGAGAUUGCGUCAGUAGCGGCGAGCGAAAGCGUAAGAGGGCAAACCCAGUGCUUGCACUGGGGGUUGUAGGACUGCAAUGUGCAAGAGGUGAGUUUAGCAGAACAUUCUGGAAAGUAUAGCCAUAGAGGGUGAUAGUCCCGUAUGCGAAAAACAAACCUUAGCUAGCAGUAUCCUGAGUAGGGCGGGACACGAGAAAUCCUGUCUGAAGCUGGGUCGACCACGAUCCAACCCUAAAUACUAAUACCAGAUCGAUAGUGCACAAGUACCGUGAGGGAAAGGUGAAAAGAACUGAGGUGAUCAGAGUGAAAUAGAACCUGAAACCAUUUGCUUACAAUCAUUCAGAGCACUAUGUAGCAAUACAGUGUGAUGGACUGCCUUUUGCAUAAUGAGCCUGCGAGUUGUGGUGUCUGGCAAGGUUAAGCAAACGCGAAGCCGUAGCGAAAGCGAGUCUGAAUAGGGCGCUUAGUCAGAUGCUGCAGACCCGAAACGAAGUGAUCUAUCCAUGAGCAAGUUGAAGCUAGUGUAAGAACUAGUGGAGGACUGAACCCAUAGGCGUUGAAAAGCCCCGGGAUGACUUGUGGAUAGGGGUGAAAGGCCAAUCAAACUUCGUGAUAGCUGGUUCUCUCCGAAAUAUAUUUAGGUAUAGCGUUGUGUCGUAAUAUAAGGGGGUAGAGCACUGAAUGGGCUAGGGCAUACACCAAUGUACCAAACCCUAUCAAACUCCGAAUACCUUAUAUGUAAUCACAGCAGUCAGGCGGCGAGUGAUAAAAUCCGUCGUCAAGAGGGAAACAACCCAGACUACCAGCUAAGGUCCCUAAAUCUUACUUAAGUGGAAAACGAUGUGAAGUUACUUAAACAACCAGGAGGUUGGCUUAGAAGCAGCCAUCCUUUAAAGAAAGCGUAAUAGCUCACUGGUCUAGUGAUUUUGCGCGGAAAAUAUAACGGGGCUAAAGUAAGUACCGAAGCUGUAGACUUGCGCACAACUUAGAUUAUUUAAGUUUAGAAUAUGAGAAACUAAGUUAUAUGUUUAGUUAUAUUUUUACUGAUUUUUAUAGAGUAAAGAUAGAAAUAAAACUUAGUAAAAUCAGUAAAAAUAUUCUUAGACUAAAGUUAAGUAGUUUAAGUUGUGUGCAAGUGGUAGGAGAGCGUUCUAUUUGCGUCGAAGGUAUACCGGUAAGGAGUGCUGGAGCGAAUAGAAGUGAGCAUGCAGGCAUGAGUAGCGAUAAUUAAUGUGAGAAUCAUUAACGCCGUAAACCCAAGGUUUCCUACGCGAUGCUCGUCAUCGUAGGGUUAGUCGGGUCCUAAGUCGAGUCCGAAAGGGGUAGACGAUGGCAAAUUGGUUAAUAUUCCAAUACCAACAUUAGUGUGCGAUGGAAGGACGCUUAGGGCUAAGGGGGCUAGCGGAUGGAAGUGCUAGUCUAAGGUCGUAGGAGGUUAUACAGGCAAAUCCGUAUAACAAUACUCCGAGAACUGAAAGGCUUUUUGAAGUCUUCGGAUGGAUAGAAGAACCCCUGAUGCCAUCGAGCCAAGAAAAGUUUCUAAGUUUAGCUAAUGUUGCCCGUACCGUAAACCGACACAGGUGGGUGGGAUGAGUAUUCUAAGGCGCGUGGAAGAACUCUCUUUAAGGAACUCUGCAAAAUAGCACCGUAUCUUCGGUAUAAGGUGUGGUUCGCUUCGUAUUAGGAUUUACUCCGAAAGCGAAGAAACUUACAACAAAGAGUCCCUCCCGACUGUUUACCAAAAACACAGCACUCUGCUAACUCGUAAGAGGAUGUAUAGGGUGUGACGCCUGCCCGGUGCUCGAAGGUUAAUUGAUGGGGUUA
rnacentral:rRNA from 1 species